rnacentral:rRNA from 1 species
UACGAGGGGGGCGAGCGUUGUUCGGAAUUAUUGGGCGUAAAGGGCGCGUAGGCGGGAUGGCAAGUCGGUCGUGAAAUCCUUCGGCUCAACCGAAGAACGUCGAUCGAUACUGCUGUUCUUGAGGGUUGCAGAGGAGACUGGAAUUCCCGGUGUAGCGGUGAAAUGUGUAGAGAUCGGGAGGAACACCGGUGGCGAAGGCGGGUCUCUGGGCAAUUCCUGACGCUGAGGCGCGAAGGUCAGGGGAGCAAACGGG